AGUGAACGCUGGCGGUAGGCCUAACACAUGCAAGUCGAACGGCAGCACAGAGGAGCUUGCUCCUUGGGUGGCGAGUGGCGGACGGGUGAGGAAUACAUCGGAAUCUACUCUGUCGUGGGGGAUAACGUAGGGAAACUUACGCUAAUACCGCAUACGACCUACGGGUGAAAGCAUGGGACCUUCGGGCCUUGCGCGAUUGAAUGAGCCGAUGUCGGAUUAGCUAGUUGGCGGGGUAAAGGCCCACCAAGGCGACGAUCCGUAGCUGGUCUGAGAGGAUGAUCAGCCACACUGGAACUGAGACACGGUCCAGACUUCUACGGGAGGCAGCAGUGGGGAAUAUUGGACAAUGGGCGCAAGCCUGAUCCAGCCAUACCGCGUGGGUGAGGAAGGCCUUCGGGUUGUAAAGCCCUUUUGUUGGGAAAGAAAUCCAGCUGGCUAAUACCCGGUUGGGAUGACGGUACCCAAAGAAUAAGCACCGGCUAACUUCGUGCCAGCAGCCGCCGUAA
rnacentral:rRNA from 1 species